CCCUGCUCAGGCUUUAGCCUCCCCACCUGUCCCUUGCACCCUUUUGUUCCCGGCUCCGCUGCUCCCCCGCCCUCCUGUCUCCGGCUCCGUGGCUCUCUCCCUCGCUUCUCCCCGGCUCCGCGACUCCCCCGCCCGUCUGUCCCCGGCUCCGUUCCCAACCACCGGCCCAUGCCCGUGCCUCCUUGCCCCUAGGACUCCCGGGGCCGUUGUGGCUCGAAUCCUCCAGAACCCGGUCACCGGGCCUCCAGAGUCCGAGCAGCAGUGCGAGGCAGGCUGCAGGGAGGAGCGGAGCCCCUGUCCGUCUACGACGGUGAAGAAGCUUCUGGAGCAGCGCCGGCAGCAGAUGGGAAUCGACUAUGACCCGGCGGCGCCGGGGUUGCAGCCUUCUUCUAUCGCCCGACAGAUCCUUCCACCUCUGCCAUUGCCGCGUCGACCCUGAGGGCUACUGACGGGAUGCCUGAACUCGCUGUGAACAGCCCUCGGCCGCCUGCCCAGUUGUCAGCUGUUACAUUUCCACCUGUCAAGAAAGCCAGAGCCACUGUGUAGCCUUGAAGGAGUACAAGCUUCUGCAGUGCGAUUGUGGAUGGCCUCCGCUGCUGUCUCCCGUUGGGCCUGCCCCAGGGCCACAUCCGCGUCUUCCUGCAUAGAGCUAAUGUAGUGCUGCUGCAUGACCAGGCAUACCACCUGAGCCUAUCGCUGCCCGCCAGAUAUGCCGCACACUGAGCCUGUGCGGAAACUUCAACGGGGACCGGACGGACGACCUGGGCCUGCCGGGCGGCGGGCUCGCCCUGUCUGCAUGCGCCUUCGGCACGGCCUGGCGCAUGCCAACCGGCCCCGCGCCCAGCCCUGCCACCUCUUGCAACUACAGCUGUGUGGAGUUUGGAGAGGCCGAGUGCAUGCUGUUCUGUGUCCCAGGCUCGUGUGGGCUCCUGCUGGCGCCCUCCGGGCCCUUCAGCGGCUGCCACACCUCAGUGUUACCUCGCUGCUUCUUCGACAACUGUGUGGCCGACAUGUGCUGGGCCUGGGGAGACCCGGCUGUCCUGUGCCUUGCCAUCCACAGCUCUUGACCGCCUGCCAGCUGAUAGGGUCCCAUGUGGGGUGCUGGAGGAGCCUGGCCUUCUGCCGUGAGACUGGGGGCCAUGGGAUACAAUGAGGGGUGGAGAAACUGAAACCAGGGAGAGGGGUCAGAGAGAGAUGCAGAGGGACCAUGACUCAGUGGCAGCAGGAGCAGCAGCAGC